rnacentral:rRNA from 1 species
UACGGAGGAUGCGAGCGUUAUCCGGAUUUAUUGGGUUUAAAGGGUGCGUAGGCGGACUGUCAAGUCAGCGGUAAAAUUGAGAGGCUCAACCUCUUCCCGCCGUUGAAACUGGUGGUCUUGAGUGGAUGAGAAGUACGCGGAAUGCGUGGUGUAGCGGUGAAAUGCAUAGAUAUCACGCAGAACUCCGAUUGCGAAGGCAGCGUACCGGCAUCCAACUGACGCUGAGGCACGAAAGCGAGGGGAUCAAACAGG